rnacentral:rRNA from 1 species
CCUACGGGAGGCAGCAGUGAGGAAUAUUGGGCAAUGGGCGAGAGCCUGAACCAGCAAAGUCGCGUGAAGGAUGAAGGCCCUACGGGUUGUAAACUGCUUUUGUCAGGGAGCAAUUGGGUCCACGCGUGGGCGUAGCGAGAGGACCUGAAGAAAAAGCAUCGGCUAACUCCGUGCCAGCAGCCGCGGUAAUACGGGGGAUGCGAGCGUUAUCCGGAUGUAUUGGGUUAAAAGGGUGCGUAGGCGGAAUAUCAAGUCAGCGGUAAAAAUUCGGGGCUCAACCCCGUCGUGCCGUUGAUACUGUUGUUCUUGAGUGGGCGAGAAGUAUGCGGAAUGCGUGGUGUAGCGGUGAAAUGCAUAGAUAUCACGCAGAACUUCGAUUGCGAAGGCAGCAUACCGGCGCCCAACUGACGCUGAAGCACGAAAGCGUGGGUAUCGAACAGGAUUAGAUACCCUGGUAGUC